ACAGCGCGGAGCGCGUCGCCGGUCGUCCGGCGCGCUGACGCAGCGCUGCACGAAGUGCAGAACGAGCGUGAGUGAAAACCCGAAUGGUUUCUAGGUAUUGUGAUAAGGUAUCUACACCUGAAUACAUAGGGUGUAAGAAGCGAACGCAGGGAACUGAAACAUCUAAGUACCUGCAGGAAAGGACAUCAACCGAGACUCCGCAAGUAGUGGCGAGCGAACGCGGACCAGGCCAGUGGCAAUUGUGAUUAAAGUGGAACGCUCUGGAAAGUGCGGCCGUAGUGGGUGACAGCCCCGUACGCGUAGAUAUCAUGAUUGUCCUAGAGUAGGGCGGGACACGAGAAAUCCUGUCUGAACAUGGGGAGACCACUCUCCAAGCCUAAGUACUCGUGCAUGACCGAUAGCGAACAAGUACCGUGAGGGAAAGGUGAAAAGCACCCCGACAAGGGGAGUGAAAUAGAACCUGAAACCGGAUGCCUACAAACAGUCGGAGCCCGCAAGGGUGACGGCGUACCUUUUGUAUAAUGGGUCAACGACUUAGUGUAACAAGCAAGCUUAAGCCGGUAGGUGUAGGCGAAGCGAAAGCGAGUCUGAAUAGGGCGAUAUAGUUUGUUGCAUUAGACCCGAAACCGAGUGAUCUAGCCAUGAGCAGGUUGAAGGUUGGGUAACACCAACUGGAGGACCGAACCCGCAUCUGUUGCAAUAGAUUGGGAUGACUUGUGGCUAGGGGUGAAAGGCCAAUCAAACUCGGAAAUAGCUGGUUCUCCGCGAAAUCUAUUUAGGUAGAGCGUCGAGCGAAUACCCCCGGGGGUAGAGCACUGGAUGGGCUAUGGGGACUCACCGUCUUACUGAUCCUAACCAAACUCCGAAUACCGGGGAGUACUACUCGGCAGACACACGGCGGGUGCUAACGUCCGUCGUGAAAAGGGCAACAACCCUAACCUCCAGCUAAGGUCCCCAAGUCAUGGCUAAGUGGGAAAGGAUGUGAGGAUCCCAAAACAACCAGGAUGUUGGCUUAGAAGCAGCCAUCAUUUAAAGAAAGCGUAACAGCUCACUGGUCUAAAUAAGGGUCUUUGCGCCGAAAAUGUAACGGGGCUGAAGCCAUGCACCGAAGCUGAGGAUGUGUAGCAAUACACGUGGUAGCGGAGCGUUCCGUAAGCCGAUGAAGGGAGACCCGUGAGGGCUCCUGGAGGUAUCGGAAGUGCGAAUGUUGACAUGAGUAACGAUAAAGAGGGUGAGAGACCCUCUCGCCGAAAGACCAAGGGUUCCUGCUUAAAGUUAAUCUGAGCAGGGUUAGCCGGCCCCUAAGGCGAGGCAGAAAUGCGUAGUCGAUGGGAACCACGUUAAUAUUCGUGGGCCUGGUGGUAGUGACGGAUUGCACAAGUUGUUCAUUCUUAUUGGAUUGGAUGGGCAGCGGAGCGGUUCCAGGAAAUAGCUCCACCGUAUAGACCGUACCCGAAACCGACACAGGUGGUCAGGUAGAGUAUACCAAGGCGCUUGAGAGAACUAUGUUGAAGGAACUCGGCAAAUUGCACGCGUAACUUCGGAAGAAGCGUGACCCCAUGCUAGGCAACUAUUAUGGGGUGGCACAGACCAGGGGGUAGCGACUGUUUAUCAAAAACACAGGGCUCUGCGAAGUCGCAAGACGACGUAUAGGGUCUGACGCCUGCCCGGUGCUGGAAGGUUAAGAGGAGAGGUGCAAGCUUUGAAUCGAAGCCCCAGUAAACGGCGGCCGUAACUAUAACGGUCCUAAGGUAGCGAAAUUCCUUGUCGGGUAAGUUCCGACCUGCACGAAUGGCGUAACGACUUCCCCGCUGUCUCCAACAUAGACUCAGUGAAAUUGAAUUCCCCGUGAAGAUGCGGGGUUCCUGCGGUCAGACGGAAAGACCCCGUGCACCUUUACUAUAGCUUUACACUGGCAUUCGUGUCGGCAUGUGUAGGAUAGGUGGUAGGCUUUGAAGCGGGGACGCCAGUUUCCGUGGAGCCAUCCUUGAAAUACCACCCUUAUCGUCAUGGAUGUCUAACCGCGGCCCGUUAUCCGGGUCCGGGACAGUGUAUGGUGGGUAGUUUGACUGGGGCGGUCGCCUCCGAAAGAGUAACGGAGGCGCGCGAUGGUGGGCUCAGACCGGU
rnacentral:rRNA from 1 species